rnacentral:misc_RNA from 1 species
AUCGCUUCCUCUCAUUAAGACAGCGCUUGUGAAACUUCAAAUACAUCUGUUGUUUAAAUUUAUUUUCUUCCAAUAGUCGAUGACUCGGAUGCUGAAAUGGAGGAAAUGGUUUGGGCAUAGAACCCACAGGCGGACUACUUCCAGAAAGGAACCCAUGAGGAGAACCACUCAACUUCGACGACAUUAGGCCAGAGUUUUCAGGUGGAGUUGACCCAAAGAAAAAGCCAAUUGAAUUGCUUGGUGGGCUUUCUGAGACAAUCCCAUUGCGAUUACGCCCGCUCCCAUAUAUUCUGAAGUUGCUAGGAUACAAGCGUUGUCUAUGUGAUGACUGAAGCUUGUUGGUGCCUUUGUUUUGUCUCCUCCGAGAAAUACCAUGAGGAGCCUCUUCGGUACCAUUAUUUCCAGA